rnacentral:tRNA from 1 species
GUCCCCGUGGCACCAAUUGGAUAAGGCAUCCGCCUACGAAAGCGGGAGAUUGCGGGUUCGAGUCCCGUCGGAGACU